rnacentral:rRNA from 15 species
GCUUACGGCCAUACCACCCUGAACGCGCCCGAUCUCGUCCGAUCUCGGAAGCUAAGCAGGGUCGGUCCUGGUUAGUACUUGGAUGGGAGACCGCCUGGGAAUACCAGGUGCUGUAAGCC